rnacentral:rRNA from 1 species
AGAGUUUGAUCCUGGCUCAGAGCGAACGCUGGCGGCAGGCUUAACACAUGCAAGUCGAACGCCUGUAGCAAUACAGGAGUGGCAGACGGGUGAGUAACACGUGGGAACGUGCCCUUCGGUUCGGAACAACCCAGGGAAACUUGGGCUAAUACCGGAUACGUCCGCGAGGAGAAAGAUUUAUCGCCGAAGGAUCGGCCCGCGUCUGAUUAGCUUGUUGGUGAGGUAACGGCUCACCAAGGCGACGAUCAGUAGCUGGUCUGAGAGGAUGAUCAGCCACACUGGGACUGAGACACGGCCCAGACUCCUACGGGAGGCAGCAGUGGGGAAUAUUGGACAAUGGGGGCAACCCUGAUCCAGCCAUGCCGCGUGAGUGAUGAAGGCCCUAGGGUUGUAAAGCUCUUUCGGCGGGGAAGAUAAUGACGGUACCCGCAGAAGAAGCCCCGGCUAACUUCGUGCCAGCAGCCGCGGUAAUACGAAGGGGGCUAGCGUUGCUCGGAAUCACUGGGCGUAAAGCGCACGUAGGCGGCUCUUUAAGUCAGGGGUGAAAUCCUGGAGCUCAACUCCAGAACUGCCUUUGAUACUGAGGAGCUUGAGUCCGAGAGAGGUGAGUGGAACUCCGAGUGUAGAGGUGAAAUUCGUAGAUAUUCGGAAGAACACCAGUGGCGAAGGCGGCUCACUGGCUCGGAACUGACGCUGAGGUGCGAAAGCGUGGGGGAGCAAACAGGAUUAGAUACCCUGGUAGUCCACGCCGUAAACGAUGGAUGCUAGCCGUUGGCGGGUUUACCCGUCAGUGGCGCAGC